GCAAUAGAAAGGCUGAUAUGGGCGGUCGGCUAAUCUCCCGGAAGGGAGGUGAUGCCUGUGGAGGUGUAUCAAGCGUUGUCCCUGAUGUUCAUGUUCGGCAUGUUCAUUCUGGCGCUGCUAAGUUACCUCAAAAAGAAAUAGACCGCCCCGACUAAGGAUAACGGUCUAUUUCUUGAGGCCUGCCUUAUAAGCCGCCGCCCUUAAAAGCGGCUAUUGCGCGGGGAGUCGUGUUGGAGCACGGCUC
rnacentral:sRNA from 1 species